UACGUAGGGGGCAAGCGUUGUCCGGAUUUAUUGGGCGUAAAGAGCUCGUAGGCGGCUUGUCGCGUCGACUGUGAAAACCCGUGGCUCAACCAUGUGGUCUGCAGUCGAUACGGGCAGGCUAGAGUUCGGCAGGGGAGACUGGAAUUCCUGGUGUAGCGGUGAAAUGCGCAGAUAUCAGGAGGAACACCGGUGGCGAAGGCGGGUCUCUGGGCCGAUACUGACGCUGAGGAGCGAAAGCGUGGGGAGCGAACAGG
rnacentral:rRNA from 1 species